rnacentral:lncRNA from 1 species
GUCUUUGCCAGGCUGGGAGGAGUGGUGCAAGAGCAGCAACAUGUCGACCACAGAGGGAAACCCCGGGACUUUCGUGGGGAGCACCGUCCCCCAGCAGACAUGAGGGGCGACCUGCGGGCGGAGAUCCAUGGAGAUAUGCGAGGCAGACGGGUGCAAGAGGUGGCCGAGGAGGAGGAGAAGAUGCCUAAGCCAUCUCUGCCCUCGUCUGUGGCUCGCCCUCAAGCAGACAUGAAGUCC